GAUGAACGCUGGCGGCGUGCCUAAUACAUGCAAGUCGAGCGAACGGACGAGAAGCUUGCUUCCCUGAUGUUAGCGGCGGACGGGUGAGUAACACGUGGAUAACCUACCUAUAAGACUGGGAUAACUUCGGGAAACCGGAGCUAAUACCGGAUAAUAUUUUGAACCGCAUGGUUCAAAAGUGAAAGACGGUCUUGCUGUCACUUAUAGAUGGAUCCGCGCUGCAUUAGCUAGUUCGUAAGGUAACGGCUUACCAAGGCAACGAUGCAUAGCCGACCUGAGAGGGUGAUCGGCCACACUGGAACUGAGACACGGUCCAGACUCCUACGGGAGGCAGCAGUAGGGAAUCUUCCGCAAUGGGCGAAAGCCUGACGGAGCAACGCCGCGUGAGUGAUGAAGGUCUUCGGAUCGUAAAACUCUGUUAUUAGGGAAGAACAUAUGUGUAAGUAACUGUGCACAUCUUGACGGUACCUAAUCAGAAAGCCACGGCUAACUACGUG
rnacentral:rRNA from 1 species